CUAUACUACAAAGCUACAAACAAUAAUCAAAUCAGUAUAGUACUGGCAUCAAGACAGACAAAUAGAUCAAUGGAACAGAAAAGAAAGUCCAGAAAUAGAACCACAAAU